rnacentral:rRNA from 1 species
GAUCCUGGCUCAGGAUGAACGCUGGCGGCGUGCUUAACACAUGCAAGUCGAACGAAGCACUUUAUUACGAUUUCUUCGGAAUGACGAUUUAGUGACUGAGUGGCGGACGGGUGAGUAACGCGUGGGUAACCUGCCUUAUACAGGGGGAUAACAGUUAGAAAUGACUGCUAAUACCGCAUAAGCGCACAGGAUUGCAUGAUCUGGUGUGAAAAAACUCCGGUGGUAUAAGAUGGACCCGCGUCUGAUUAGCUGGUUGGUGAGGUAACGGGCCCACCAAGGCGACGAUCAGUAGCCGACCUGAGAGGGUGACCGGCCACAUUGGGACUGAGACACGGCCCAAACUCCUACGGGAGGCAGCAGUGGGGAAUAUUGCACAAUGGGGGAAACCCUGAUGCAGCGACGCCGCGUGAGCGAAGAAGUAUUUCGGUAUGUAAAGCUCUAUCAGCAGGGAAGAAAAAAUGACGGUACCUGACUAAGAAGCCCCGGCUAACUACGUG